rnacentral:lncRNA from 10 species
GUCUGAACACUACUUGAUUUGCUUAUUUGGGGCAUGUACAUGCCCCAAACUUGUAUUCUCUUUGUGAUCUCAGCAGUACCAUUUAAAUAACUUUUAUCUUUCAGCCACAUGAUGUGAAGCUUUUGCAUAUACAGACUAAAAUCUCAUUGACUGAUUUUACUGCCACAUUGCAUUACAAGACCUUAUAUAAUUUGCUACCACUAUCAUCUCAAAGUCUCUUGGUAAUACUGCUUUCCAAGUACUGUAUAUCCUGCCAGUUGAAUGGCUGUGUUUCUGAUCAUUUUUCCCCAGAUGUAUUAGCUACAUUUUUCCAGGUUGAAUCACAUUUCAUUUCCUGCCCAUAUUUCUAACCACUUUAGGUCCCUUUUAUCUGCCCUCACUGGUUUUGCCAACACCAUCCAAUUUAGCAUCAUCUGUAAAUUUAAUUAACAUGAUGUGUAUCCUCUCUUAUAAAUCACUAAUGAAGUUUCUCUACAAUGAUUUGUUUAUUUUAAAAACUCUAAUGCUGCUUAAUGUUUAUAAUCUUGCUUAUAAUGUUUAUAAUCUUAAGAAGGCACCACUUUUUUGCCACUAAAUAUUUGUUUUAUUAUUUUAGGAGUGGUUCAUGAUAGACUAACAACAGAAUCAUGUUCAGGGUCACUGCUAUCCUUUUUUGAAUAUUAGUGCUAAAUUACUUUUAUGAUUGCUUCUGUACAUAACAAAGCUUUAACUGACAAUUUUCUACCCUUCUGUGUUUUUU